AGGGGCAGGAGCGCUGCGGUCGCUGAGCGUUUGCACGUUUGCACCUCUCUGUGGAAGCAGUGCGUCACAGGAGGGAAAUAUACAUGCUCCCCAAAACAAGAGGUGCCUUCCACUUCAGUAUUCCAGAUCCUCAGCACAUUUGCAAAUCGCGAGGGUCACCAUACAGGUCAAACGUCUGCACGCAAACCACGGACCGAAGCACGUGGCGCAAGGAUGCGGAGCUUUAUCUGUUGUCCGUUAUUACUCAGGACGCGUUUCUCACGGGAUUUGGCCCGCGGGCUGCCCCGUAGUAGGAGGUGUGGUAGAACUGGAGGCGUAGAAAGAAUGUGGAUUGCGAUUGGUUCGCACUUCACUUUCCCGGAGCUCAGUGGGCGUCGCGCGAAGGCUAAGGGAGUGUGGCGGGCGGCUCCGGGAGCCAACAUGCCUCGGUAUGCGCAGCUGGUCAUGGGCCCCGCGGGCAGCGGGAAGAGCACCUACUGUGCCACCAUGGUCCAGCA
rnacentral:lncRNA from 1 species